GACGAACGCUGGCGGCGUGCCUAAUACAUGCAAGUCGAGCGAAUCGAUGGGAGCUUGCUCCCUGAGAUUAGCGGCGGACGGGUGAGUAACACGUGGGUAACCUGCCUGUAAGACUGGGAUAACUUCGGGAAACCGGAGCUAAUACCGGAUAUUUUCUUUUCUCGCAUGAGGGAAGAGGGAAAGCUGGUUCUGCUAUCACGUACAGAUGGACCCGCGGCGCAUUAGAUAGUUGGUGAGGUAACGGCUCACCAAGGGAACGAGGCGUAGCCGACCUGAGAGGGUGAUCGGCAACACUGGGACUGAGACACGGCCCAGACUCCUACGGGAGGCAGCAGUAGGGAAUCUUCCGCAAUGGACGAAAGUCUGACGGAGCAACGCCGCGUGAGCGAAGAAGGCCUUCGGGUCGUAAAGCUCUGUUGUUAGGGAAGAACAAGUACGAGAGUGACUGCUCGUACCUUGACGGUACCUAACCAGAAAACCACGGCUAACUACGUGCCAGCCGCCGCGGUAAUAC
rnacentral:rRNA from 1 species